CCCUUAGAUGUUCUGGGCCGCACGCGCGCUACACUGACGAUGGCAACGAGUUUUUCCUUCGCCGAAAGGUGUGGGUAAUCUUUUGAAACAUCGUCGUGCUGGGGAUAGAUCAUUGCAAUUUUUGAUCUUGAACGAGGAAUUCCUAGUAAGCGCGAGUCAUCAGCUCGUGCUGAUUACGUCCCUGCCCUUUGUACACACCGCCCGUCGCUCCUACCGAUUGAGUGCUCAGGUGAAUAAUUCGGACUGCAGCAAUGUUUGGAUCCCGAACGUUGCAGCGGAAAGUUUAGUGAACCUUAUCACUUAGAGGAAGGAGAAGUCGUAACA
rnacentral:rRNA from 1 species